UUUAUUUAUUUUAGUUAUGAAAUUGGCAGGGAUUUUGUCUUAAUACUUUGGGGUUCUGAGUAGCCAUGAAUCAAGAAUAUUUUUGGAAUCAAUAAACUUAUGUCUUUCACGUAUAAUCACAGAAGAGAAACGCGCGUCUUCUCAAGAGGAAAGAGAAAAAAAAGCACCCUUGUUAGAACGGGCUUCCUUGCGUUUCAGAAUAAGGAAUACACAAAGUUGAAGGAAAGAGAGGAUAAUCAUGCUAUGAUAAUAGCACAACUGUUUGGAAGUGUGUUUUUUUAACUCAGAAUGAAGAUACUGCCUACCUCAAGUGUGACAAAAAAAAGGGAGAUAGAUUUUAGAAGAAAACGAUAAGUUCCCUCCUCUGAGGUGCUCUUAGAGUAGUAGAAAUAAAAUAUUUGAACACACCUGACA
rnacentral:lncRNA from 1 species